rnacentral:lncRNA from 1 species
CUCUGUUUCCAGUGCUUUCUCAGUUGGCGGCAUUUGCCAAUAUGGAUGUCUAAGGUCAGAGUUUCAGAGAAACAGUCUCUGAGAUGCAGACUCCAUUAACGAAUGACUUUGGGAUCAACAUUUUUGGAAAAAAUGAAGAAAGCGGAAUUGAGCAGGGUCUGGCAGCUGGAAGACCAAGAUCAGGGUGCCAACCUUUUUGGAUGAAAGUCUACAGAAUUUCUAUUGUGCCCUCAUAUUGACAGAAAGAGGACUUGAGAGCUCUCUGGGGCUCUCUCAAGGCACUAAUGAAGGCUCUUCCCUCAUGACCUAAUCACCUCCCAGAAGCCCCAGCCCUUGGAUAUCAGGUUUUCAA